rnacentral:lncRNA from 1 species
UGGUUGAAUUCCUUCCUUGCCUUGAUUUAUCAAAGCAUGAGUAACGGAUUGAUCUCUGUUGCUAGGCAGCUGGCUUACAUUGCUUAUCAGAUCUAACUGCCUAGGAACAGCCUCGUCUUUGAUGGAGAUGUGAUUUCUGCUCAUCGAGUUUUGGACAUAGCUGUUUGUCUUGCUCAGGAGUAUUGUCGGUUUGAUACUGCCACUCCGAUCCCUGACAUCCCCAAUCCUUGGAGUCCCUGGCUACUCUAGCAGUGACCCAUAGGGUUCUUUCUAUCUCUUAGGAGUCCCUACCCCCAGAGUUUAUCAAGGUGAACUUCAAUGGCAGCAUCAGAGG